rnacentral:lncRNA from 13 species
UGUCUAUGACACAGACAGUGGAGUCUACUUCUGCAGAGCAUCCAAUGUCCACCUGUACAGAUCUGUGACCUCCAGAGCUGCCAGACUGACCGUUCUGGGUAGAUACUGUAUGACAUCACACAGGAUGUAGGCUUAUUAUUGUCUAGCCAUGUGUCUGUAUAAGAGAUAUUCAGGAUGAUACCUGAUACAGCACGUUAAUAUUCAUACAAAUACACUUGCAAUCAUAAUCAAAGACAGUUAAUUAUCUGAGAUAUACAGUGCCUUGCGAAAGUAUUCGGCCCCCUUGAACUUUGCGACCUUUUGCCACAUUUCAGGCUUCAAACAUAAAGAUAUAAAACUGUAUUUUUUUGUGAAGAAUCAACAACAAGUGGGACACAAUCAUGAAGUGGAACGACAUUUAUUGGAUAUUUCAAACUUUUUUAACAAAUCAAAAACUGAAAAAUUGGGCGUGCAAAAUUAUUCAGCCCCUUUACUUUCAGUGCAGCAAACUCUCUCCAGAAGUUCAGUGAGGAUCUCUGAAUGAUCCAAUGUUGACCUAAAUGACUAAUGAUGAUAAAUACAAUCCACCUGUGUGUAAUCAAGUCUCCGUAUAAAUGCACCUGCACUGUGAUAGUCUCAGAGGUCCGUUAAAAGCGCAGAGAGCAUCAUGAAGAACAGGGAACACACCAGGCAGGUCCGAGAUACUGUUGUGAAGAAGUUUAAAGCCNNNNNNNNNNGAAAAGUCGUCACUUUCUGAGAUCUGAAUUCAAAUAGUUUUGAAAAGUCGUUACUUUAUGGGAUCUGUAUUCAAAUAUGCUCAUCAUUUUCUUCUCUAUCUUAAGCUGAAGAUGACCCAGCUGAUAGAGAAAGGCAGCAUAGACAGAUUGUAUCUGCAGUGAGUAAUAAUGAGGUUCCAAAGACUGAAGCAGAGCAGAGAACUCCCCUGUCCAGUAAUGACCGGAGUCUAGUUCAGCAUUCUGAGAUGACCCACUCACAUGUCUCCCGACAGGGAGGAAGCACAGUCCGAGCAACUCAAAGAGACUCAAGCAAUGACAUCCCCCAAGUGUCUACUCCUGACACUCUACGACUGCUCUCGUCUCUCAGGCAGACAGCUUUAGGACUAGCAGGUCUCUACAGAGGACAAACAGGACUGCUGGUUCCACCUGACCUUCACUCUCUGCUCCCAUUGGACCUGGCCUCGGCCAAUCCAACCCAGUCCCCAGUCACACAGAUCCAGCAUCCAGUGCUACAACCCCUACCUCCACCUCUAUUUGAACCCUUAGACCUACUCACCCAGCCUUCAGUAACUCAUAGAGUCAUCUCACUCACUCAGAUUCAAAUAAUACCUAACCAGCCAACAUUAACACACAACCCACCCCCAGUGACACAACGGCAGGUUUUAGUCCCAGAUAGCCAAUCUCCAUUAACACAGUCCGUAUUCCAAAGCCUCCACAACCAGCCAUCAGUCAUGCAUUUCCAGCGUCAAGUCACUGAGCAACCAAUUAAACCCCUAAACCACAUCGGCAGAUUUACCCAGUCUCUGGUCUCACUCCCGCAGCUUCCAGACUCUUCCAGCCACCCGUCUGAUUCCUUUACCCAGCGUCCUGAUUCUCUUACCCAGCCCAAAGAACCUUUGACUCAGUCUCUACUCAUUCACAGCCUGCAUGCUCCCGACUCAAUCGCUCAAACCCACCAUCCUGUACCUCAAAGUAAUCCUUCAGACCCACAUAUCCAGGAGCCUAGCACCAUCACCCUGUUUUCACGCUCACAAACCCAGACUCAACCAUCCAAAACUCAGCCUCAACCAUCACCAACCCAGCAUGGACCUACACAAACCCAGCGUACAGAUCUCCUCACCCAGCCUUCAGGCUCAAACACCCAUCUUCCUGACCUGAUCACCACACCCCUCACCCCUGACCCCCAGGGCCCUAGUGCCCCCUCUGCCUCCACCCCAGACCCCCUGCAGCAGAACACGAGCCAGCCUGCUAACCCAGCUCAUCCAGCCAAACCAACCAGGCCCAAUGACACAGAGCCCAUAGAGUGGCUGAAGAGGAACACCUCUCAGUCCCCCAUGAGGACCAAUGAGGACCCCAGAGUAAAGCCUCCUCCUCCGUGGCUUCCAGUGCUGGAGAAACAUGACAUCCCCAUCGUGGUGGGAGUGGGUGUGUCUAUGGCCUUCAUCUUCAUCACCAUGGCCUUCUACUCCCUGGUCCAGAAGAACGAGCCUGUCCCCACUAUUAGAACCUUGUCUUCCACAGUUCCCAGGAACCUGGGCGUCCCAUGCAGACAUGCUGAACGUCUGGACACUGGGAGGACCUAUGAGAACAGGGCAUUUGAGGAUGAUGAUUUGGUGGCUGUGAUUGAACAAAGCCCCAACACAUCAGAUACACGCGCCAGGCCUCCUGCCCCCAGCCCAGUCACUGUGAUGAUAGACCCAGCCUCUGAUGAGACACAGCCCCCGCACACUCCAGAACACUCGUUUAUAGCAGAGACCUAUCUUGAGCCCAGCGAAGACACACAGUUGCAGCAGCUGUCUGGAUCCUCUCCACUUCAGGUCGACCACUUCCUGGAUGAAGAGAAGGAAUGCAGCCUGUCUCACCCCAGUAUCCAGCUGCAGUGUGUGGAGGACUGGGGGGGCGGAGGAGUAGAAUACGGACAAUGCCAGGGCCAAGAAAUCCUACCCCAUCCCCCCUCUCUCUCUCCUUCCCCACCUCCUGUGCGUGAGGAAAGCCUGCGCUCCUCCCUGACCCUCCAGACAGCUGAGCCCUAUGCCACACCGGUCCACCACAGUGUCAGUAUCUGCCACAGUAAUGCCCCCCUCCUCCUCUCCCACUGCAUCUCCCUGGGCCUUACCACCGUCGCUGUUGAUGUCCACUUCUACCCAGCAGCCCCUGCUUCCACCACCACGACAGUGGCAGCCGUCACCCAGAUCAAUGCUACCACCGCUACUGCACCAGGGCCCCAGCUCAGCUCCCGAUUGGCUCACAGUCAGGAGCAUGACCAAUCGGCUCCUACCGUGCGCCAGAGUAAGUAA